rnacentral:lncRNA from 1 species
UUCUAAAACCAGAUCUUUAUUCUCUAGUUCGAAAAGGAGGGUAAGUGGUUGUGUUUAGUUCCAGAGAACAAACAAGGCCCAACAGUAGAAAUUACAAGGAAGCAGACUUCAUUCAUUAUAAGGAAGAAUUUCUAACAAUUAGAAUUACCCUACAGUAGAACCAGGGCCUCAGGAGGUAGGGGGGCUCCCUGUCACCUAAGUGUUCAAGCAGAGGCUGGGCAUCCGCACACUAGAAAGGGCAAAGGGGAAACUCACCCUGGGUUCCUAUCAGCUGACCCUCCCUUAUCAGUGGGGCAGUUCUGCCCACGUGGUGAGUUCUGAAAGGAGGGAAGGAGGGUUGGGGGUGUUCGAACAAAAGCCCUGACACAGGGCAGCUGACGGCCAGGGGAUGUUCUAAGCGCUGGGAGGGUGCUGGAUAAAGCAAGUCAGACCAGUAGGGAGAGGCCCCGGGGAUUGAUGUCGAGGGAGGAAGGGGACAAAGCACUAACAGUAGAUGGGUCUCUCCAAAUCCAGGUGUAUCCAGCUGGUCCUCUUUUCCUCCUGGGUGCUCAUUCACUAACGACUGUACCACACCUACUUCCAAAAAACAAGCUGAAGGAACUCAUAGUUAAAGACAGGGACAUUAAGGCGUUAACAUCAGAAAAGGGUCCUCCUGUCCACUGGUGGCCCCUCCGGCGGGGAGGGCUCUAAGGGGUGGGUGGAGCUGCUAUUGCUACUUUUCCAGGGCACAGGACAGUCAGGACUGAAAUUGAGCAAACCUGCUGGAGGCCGGGGUCCCUGCUCUGCAAGUGGGCUCCCUGAUUGUGGAGUGGGGUAGGGGGAAGAACAUCCCUCUCUGGUGGGGGGGGCAGCCCACCCACCCCCACAGCAGCAGCACAGGGCACAGUGUGAAUGCCGCCCAGGGCCCCCCUCCCUCGGCCUCCGCAGGUCCUGCCCUCUCAGACAUCAUGCUUCUUCUGAUGGGCCAGGAGCUUCUCCUCGUCGUCAAAGGUCUGGCCGCAGAUGGCACAGCAGAAGGCGCCGUCCCGGAUGUGGCUCUUGCGGUGGGUGAUGAGGUUGGACUUCUGGCUGAAGCUGCGGUCGCAGUCGGGGCAGGCAUAGGGGCGCUCUCCGGUGUGGAUGCGCCGGUGGGACACCAGGUUAGACUUCUGGCUGAAGGCUUUGCCGCAGUCGGGACAGACGUAGGGCUUCUC